rnacentral:rRNA from 1 species
UGGCUAUCUAACAUGGGGAACGUUCACAGACUAAGUGGAAAUGGGUGGAGCCUACGGGCUCUGCUUAAGAUAUAGUCGGGCCUCUUUGGAAACACUGGGGAGCGAGUGGAGCGGAUAGCUCUAUUUGCAGAAGCCGUUCCGUAGGUGAACCUGCGGAAGGAUCAUUA